CUGCCUGGUAGUGGGGGACGAACGUUUCGAAAGGAACGCUAAUACCGCAUACGUCCUACUGGAGAAAGCAGGGACCUUCGGGCCUUGCGCUAUCAGAUGAGCCUAGGUCGGAUUAGCUAGUUGGUGAGGUAAUGGCUCACCAAGGCGACGAUCCGUAACUGGUCUGAGAGGAUGAUCAGUCACACUGGAACUGAGACACGGUCCAGACUCCUACGGGAGGCAGCAGCC
rnacentral:rRNA from 1 species